rnacentral:lncRNA from 1 species
GGUAAGGUUGAGUCAAAUGAUUUUAAACAAUAACACCAUUAUAUGCGAUAAAUACAAAUAGAAAUGUUAAAUUAUAAGAAUUUAAAAAGUGUAUCUGUAUCUAUAUCUAUAUCCAUAUAUCCAUAUCUGUGUGUAUUUAUUUAUUUGUACAUCUAAGAAUGUUUUACAUAUUUGAUAUGUGGGUGUCUCACCUUUAUUAUAGUUAUGUUGUUUUCCUUCUACAUUAGUUUGAUUUUAAAAAUUUACUUGUGAACACAUGCAUAUAUUGAUCUAGUUUUGUGUCUGGCAAGUCCAGAAGCUUUUGCUUAUGGUUGAAGGAAUUUUGACUUCCUAACAAGGAUCAGAUCCUUACUGCCUUGCCCAUUAUGAAACUUCAUUAAUUGGACAAAAGAAGGCCUUAGCCACCAAUCUUUAACCUUUACUAUAGGUAGUUUUUUAUUUUUAUUAUUUAUUUAUUUAUUUUUAAUGAAUGAAAGAAAAAAAAGAAAAAGAAAAGAAAAGAAAAGAAAAAGUAAUUCCAAUAUUCAUUUAAGAGAAACAGAAGGCAUUCUCUACCUUCUCUCCAGUCUGUAGUGGUUACAUUUUUAUAUUUGUUAUAUCUUAGGCAUAUAAAAUAGUUUUAACAAUAUAUUCCAUUAACCAUAAUACAACUGCUAGCGUGAUGUACAUUGUGAACUCAUAUUCUAACAACCUUUUUAGGAAAGGUGGUAGUUUAACAUAGUAUCAAAGCUAGAGGUCUCAACUUCAAGUCUCUCUUGCUACUUGUACCAUCUAUUUAUCUACUGCCAAUUUGUAUCUCUACAUGUGAGUAUGAGUCUGUGUGUGUGCAAGGAUGUCAUUUUAUGUAGCUUAGGCAUAUCGAUAGUAUUUUUACGGCUUUAUUCCAAAUUGGACUAUUCAUUUGUGAUAUAUGCAUAUGCAGAGUUUUGGUGUAAUACUCUAUUAGUGUUCUGCACUUCACGGGGGGAAGAAGAAAAGAAAUGGAAAUCUGGAACAGUCCAUAAAAAAUCCUAAUGGAUGUUGGGUUACCAAUUUAAUCCAAAAGCUUAGACUAUUAGGUAAUAUUGGAAGGCUUGUUGCAGGUUAAAGGUUUGUGUUUAUCCAUGCUAAACAUGGAGAUUCUGUUAGUGUCAUAUCUUGGGUGUCUUAUAGGGAAAGAGGCUCAUGGAAAUUUGACUGCUGGUUGCAAGGAAUUCAGAGGUCCUUUGGGACUCUAUAGUUUUCCUUGCUUCCCUUUGGGCUUUCUGUUCCAAGGCAUUUAAGGGGAUCCCCCUUAAUGUGAUUCAAUUGGAUUGGAUAGCGGUGUGUACUCCUUAGGGAUUGGUCCUUAGUGGGUGUUCGUUUAUUUUAUGUGUAUUUCCCUGUAAUUUAGUUGUCUUUGGUUGGAGGAUUUCUCAUCCUUCUUCUUGUACUUCCUUUUUAUAUUAAUAUAUAUUGGUGUCGUUUCCAAUCAAAAAUAAAAUAAAAUUUGACUGCUGGUUCCACAAUAUUCUAGAUGUUUCUGUUGAAGUGGGAUACUCCUUUGGGUUUCUUGCUCAGUUUACCAAGCUAUAGAUUAGUUUUCCAAGUAAGGAGCAAAGCACUUGGUCUCCUUUGUUAGAGACUUCUUUUUCCUCCCUGAGUGUAAAAAGCUUUUGUAGCAUGUGUACAUAGUUUUUCUGCCCAUAGUCUGUUAAGAUAGUUUUAGUUUAGUUUUUGUGGUGUAUCUUGGAAGGAUUGCUUAUCCUCUGUAUUUACCGCUUGAUGUCUGAAUUUGGUCUUUUUCUUUUCCUUUUUUAUUUUUUAUUUUUUAUAAUUUUUAUCAGAGAUUAAUGAAUAUGUUUGUUACAAAUAAAAAAGGUGGUAGUUCAACAAAACAUACUUAGUUAACAUGGGUUUAGGCCCUAAUAUCCUGUCUCACCUGCAUCUUUACCUUGCUUACACAUGGAUUCAAUUAAUGGGGAAAAAUAUACAGAUGUUGAGGUUCAUACUCAUGAAACCUUUGGUACUAUGUUAAACUAAUAAGUCAAUCUAAACGCUUAAACUGUUAGGUAAUGAGCCAAUAAUGUAUAUUAAUCCAACUUGGACUAAAGCCAUAAAAAUGGAAAUCUUCCAUCCCCCAUCCUUCAUAAACAUAGUUGACAUCCUGAAUCUCUUAAUAUUAUUUUUCUGGUUUAACACUAGGAUUAAAGUGUUAUCUUUGCCUUUGACUCUGGAGAAGUAAUGGUGUGUCAAGAAUUUGCCACAGAUGGGUUCAUCUUGUAUGUCCCAUUUCCUUGGGAAGUUGAGGUAGUGAUGGCAUCAACCAGCUUCCAUAGGUUUUGGAAAAUGCAACAAAAAAAUUAAGUUUGAAACAAUUUUAUAGUGUAGCAUAUAUGUUACUAUUAAAUUAUUUUUAGAAGUAGGCAUGUGAAUUCUGAAUGGCUCAAGAAUAUUACCGGUGUUUAAAUUUUGGAAUUUAUGAGAACUUGAUAGUUCUCUCAUUAAGACAAUAUCUAUUCCUCUAUCACAAAAGUUGCAUAUUAAAUUGCUUCACAAUAAAAUUGAAUGAUGAAAGCAAGUUUGUAUCCAGGUCUAAAAUGCCUUAGCAGAUUAACAAUUGCAUGUUUCUUAAUUAUGUCUCUGAGGAAAAAAAUAUUUCUUAAUUAUGUCAUUUGAAAUGUCUCUUUAGUUCAGAAUUAAUUUUAAAUAGUAU